UGGAGCCAAAAUCCCAUUGUUUUACCCCAAAAAAUCACCGAGAAAUUGAGGAAAAGCGAAUUUUAGUUAUAGGGUUUUAUAGGGUUUCGGGUUUCCUAUCCAUACCAUUACACAAAGUCAUUAGGAAGGUAAAGAUUAAGGUUCUCCAAUGCCACCCGACCUCAUUAAUAGUCAGUUUGACCCAAAAUCCCAUUGUUUUACCCCAAAAAAUAAGGGGAUAUUGUUAUAGGGUCUUAUGGGGUCUUAUAGGGUUUCGGGUUUCCUAUCCAUACCAUUACACAUAGUCAUUAGGAAGGUAAAGAUUAAGGUUCUCCAAUGCCACCCGACCUCAUUAACGGUGGGUCGGACCCAAAAUCGCCCUAUUUAGCCCCAAAAAUUAAUAGGAUCGGGUUAUAGGGUCUUAUAGGGUUUCGGGUUUUCUAUCCCUAUCAUUACCCCAAGUCUUUGAGGACAUGGGGUAGAAGGUUCUCCAAAGCCACCCGACCUCAUUAAUGUUGGGUUGGACCCGAAAUCCCACUAUUUAGCCCCAAAAAUUAAUGGGAUCGAUUAUAGGGUCUUGUAGGAUUUGGGGUCUUUUAGCCGUUUAGAACCUGAAAUGACCCUAAACCUCCCAUUCUAACCCCAAAAGACCCUAAAUCUCCCAUUCUAACCCCAAAUGACCCUAAACCUCCCAUUCUAACCCCUAAUGACCCUAAAUCUCCCAUUCUAACCCCAAAUGACCCAAAAUCUCCCAUUCUAACCCCAAAUGACCCUAAAUCUCCCAUUCUAACCC